GGCCGAGUGGCCUAAUGGAAAAGGCACGAGACUCCGGAGCUGGCGAUUGUGGGUUCAAGUCCCACCUGGGUCG